UCUUACAUUACCGUCUCUCUAACUGGAACUGGAACUGGAACUAGAACUGGAACCCUAACUCUAACUCUUCUUCUACCAACAACAACAACAAUAACAACCACUACAACUAGUAUGGUGUCCACUACGACUCUACCUCCAAAAGAGUUAUUGCUAUUAACAUCACUUUCUUGCCUUUCCCUAUUUCCCUCCCUCUCCAAAACCCUUUCGGAAACCUACCUGAGCUUCACACUCUCUCCCUUCCCCACAAUCUACUCUCCGGUCUGAUUCCAUCUCAAAUCGACAAUAUUCGAUCUUUGCAAAUCCUUGAGCUCCAAGGAAACAAUUUCUCCGGGCACAUUCCUUAUCAGAUAACAUACCUCUCCUAUCUCCGCCUCCUUAAUUUAUCUUAUAAUACGUUCUCCGGUCUUAUUCCGGAUACUUUGAUUGGUUUUGCCAAAGUAAAUACUCUUGAUUGCUCCAAUAAUCAGCUUUCAAGUCCAACUGAUCUCCAUAAAUUUGAUGCUAUAUCUAAAUGUGAGUCUCUCAAUCAUUUGAAGCUCUCUAACAACUAUUUUCUUAGAGCUAUGCCUUCUGUUAUCGGCAAAUGCUCCAACUUGAGAACUUUUUCACUCGAUGGCAACAUUUUCCAAGGUCCUAUUCCUCUCGAGUUAGGCCAAAUUCACCAACUCCGAAUUCUCGACGUUUCCAUAAAUAGUAUCACCGAUAGGUUUCCUACACAACUAGCCGACUGCCGAAAGCUUUCUUUUGUCACGUUGACCAACUUGGUUGAUCCCCAAUCUGACCAAAAUUACUCCUCCGCUGCCAGUGGUGGUUGUGGUGUUGGAGAAUUCAAUGCCUUUGACCGUGGUAUACCUUAUGAGGUGUUGUUGCUUCCAAACCUUCAGAUAUUUUGGGCACCAAAGGCAAAUCUCAAGGGUAGGUUGCCUGAUAACUAGAGGAGCGAUAAUAGCAAUAAUACCUAUUAUUGAUCCCUGAGGGUAGUCAAUCUGGGGCAAAAUUAUUUUACUGGUGACUUACAUCAGAAUAUGGCAGCAGUGUGCAAAAAUUUCACUGGGAUUUGAGUUCAAAUGGUUUGCAAGGUUACAUUCUUUGGCAGCUGCAAGUUCCAUGUAUGGUGUAUUUCAAUGUCAGCAAAAAUUCAUUGUUGGGUCUUCUUCCAAGAUUUAGCAACAACACUAGUUGUGAUAUUAGCAUGAUUUCUUGUAGGAACGAUCCUAACUUGUUAUACGAGGAAGAUGUUUAGAUAGCCUACUCUAACAUACCUAUUUGGGGUUCUUAGAUGAACACCUUCUUUGAAUCCGACUCAGAUAAUCAUUUAUCUAUGGUCGUCCAAGAUUUUAGUUGGAAUGGCUUCUCUAGUUCUCUGUCUUUCUUCUCCUUUACGAAUAAGUUCUUCCAGACCAUUGGUAAGACCUCAUACAGAUUGUUGGUGAACAAUAAUAUGUUUAAUGGGUCUCUUCUAGGAGUGCUAUUUUCAAACUGUAAUGAUCUGCAAAGCUUUUCAGCUAACUUGAGUGCUAACCAACUAUCUGGUGCACUAUACCUAGAGUUACUCCUUGAUUGCAUAUAGUUAACCAUUUUUGAAGCAGCACAAAACCGUAUUGGUGGGUCAAUUCCUCCCAAGAUUAGCAGCUUGAAGAUGCUUCAAUUUCUCAACUGAAGUCGAAACUUGCUGUCUGGAUCCCUUCCUAUUCAGUUGGGAGAGUUUUAGGAUUUGGAGUUGAUUUCUCUCCAAGACAACAAUUUGACUGGAGAAAUCCAAACUCAGCUUGGUCAAUUAACUUCUCUCAUGGUUUUGGAUCUCUCUCAAAAUGCCCUAACUGGAUCCAUCCCUGGAAGUUUAGCCAAUGCCACGAGUCUUCAAGUUGUGUUGCUAGAUCACAACAGGCUUUCUGGGGGGGAACUUGCAUCUUUUUCAAAGUUUCUCAAUCUUAUUCAACUGGAUCUUUCUUUCAAUAACCUUUCCGGUCAUAUACCUCAUCUUCAGUACGCAAAUGAUUCUUAUUGUUUUGGAAGGAAUUGAUUUUUACGUUUGUGUCAGACUAGUACUCAGCACCACUAACUGGGCUUCCAGUCCCACUUCAAGUUCAAAAGUGGUACAGCCGAAGUAAAUUGAAGUCUCUUGUAAUAGUGAUGGCCAUUUCUGCAUCUUUUGUGCUUUUUUGUCUUAGUAGUUAUAGUUCUUUUCGCCCUCAUUGGAAAGGGAAAGCUUAGUAGACUCACUAGCCUAAAAAAGAAAGUUGUAGUGACAUUUGCAUACGCUCCGACUGAACUGAAUUACGACAACGUGGGUAGAGCAACUGGGAAUUCAGUAUCCUCAACCUAAUUGGCUUCCUUGUAGUUGUGCAAUGGCUCUCAAUUGGUAGAUUUCAAGGCAUUCACCAGUUUAAUGCAGAGAUACGAACUUUAGGAAGAAAAUUCAGCAUAAGAACCUUGUGACUCUCAUUGGGUACUACGUGGGAGAAGUUAAGAUGUUCUUGAUUUACAACUAUCUUUUUGGUGGAAAUCUUGAAACCUUUAUACAUGAAAGGUCAGGCAACAAUGUAGAAUGGUCAGUAAUCCACAAGAUAGCUAUUGACAUGGCCCAAGCUUUGCCUUUCCUUCAUUACUCUUGUGUUUCCUGCAUAGUUCAUCGUGACAUCAAGCCUAGCAACAUCUUACUUUAUGAGGAGUUUAAUGCGUACCUAUCAGACUUUAGGUUAGCUCAGCUUCUAGAAGUUUUUGAGACCCAUGCUACCAUAGAUGUAGCAAGCACAUUUGGGUAUGUGGCACCAGAAUAUGCAACCACUUGCAGGGUUUCUAACAAGGCUAGUGUUUAUAGUUUUGGGGUUGUGCUCUUGGAACUGAUGUCAUGAAAGCAGUCCCUCAAUCCAUCAUUUUCUGAGUAUGGUAAUGGGUUCAAUAUUGUUGCAUGGGCUAAAUUGUAAUCAAGAAGGGAUGUUCUUCUAAGCUCUUCUCCCCAAAAUUGUGGAAAGCUGGGCCUAAAGAGAGUUUGUUGGGAAUUUUGAGACUUGCAUCAUCUGCAUAGUGGAACCGCUUUCUAUUGCCCAUCAAUGAAUCAAGUCCUUGAGAAACUGAAGCAACUUAAUUCCUAAAAAACGAUUACCUUUUUCUCAACACCUGGUAUUGGACAAUAAUAAAAAGGUCAUCAUGCUUUGUCUAUGCUACUGAGGUCAAGUCAUUCGUUGAUGGGUUUAAUCAUUAUCAUAUCCUUCUUCUGAUUCUAGAAUUGCAAAUAUAUUUCUUGGCUUCAGCUUAACGCUUCAUUAUUCAUAUCAUCAAACUUCAUUUUCAGAAAUAUAAUCUUGUAUAUUUAUUUUUUUGGUUUCAAAAUUUUUGCAGCGUUUUGAAGUGUGAAACACAGUUAAAUGCACCUUCUUGGUCAAUAGCAGAGAAUCAGACAUUUUCAUCUUUGACUGGAACCAAUAACUUGAAAUCCAUUUCUACAAUAGUGCCCACAGAUAUGAUAAUUAAUGUAUUACAUCCAAUUACUCUGGAGACUACCAAUUUUCUCAAUCUACCAAACAACUAUUCUUGACUUGUCCUGUCCUCAAUUUUCAUGUUUUGCAAUCUAUAUAUUUUGCAAUAUACGUAAUGUGUAUGCAUGUGACCGCAUGGGCAUGCUGGCUAGAAUGUUAUCUGAGAAGCAUGACUAACCUCCAAGAAUGCAACAGUUAGUAUAGUGUUAAUCUGAAGCCCUCCUUGAUGGCUUUUACAUUAAUCACUGAUAUCUUGUUCUCUAGUAACUUUUUGUUUUUUACAGGUAACAUAACUCACACACAUGGAGCUUUCAUCACUAAGCAUCGUGGUUUGGUGGUUCUUCACACAACUUAAGAAUCAAUCAGCAUGCUAUUGAGGCAGCAAAGCAUAUAGGAAGCCUUAUGUUGGUAUUGGCAGUGUAAAACCAAUUACUAGUUGGACAUUUUGUUGUCAUGCUGAAUUCAGUGGGGCUGUAAAUGUACUGCACUCGUUCGUUGCUGCUUAAUUUGAGCUGCCAAUUCAUCUGGUUCAGCAAUUUUGAACUGGCAGUACACUAGAAACAUUGUAUAUAAUAACACAUCUUAUAUUAUUCAAUUUGCAUAACUUUCUUGGUAUUAUUAAUGAGUUGGAAAACAA